rnacentral:tRNA from 1 species
GAAAUUUAAUAAUUUAUAUUUUUAUUUACAAUAAAAAAUUU